rnacentral:rRNA from 1 species
CACGGGGGUUGCGAGCGUUAUCCGGAAUUAUUGGGCGUAAAGAGUGCGUAGGUGGUUGUUUAAGCGUGGGGUGAAAGGCAAUGGCUUAACCAUUGUGAGCCUCGCGAACUGGGCGACUUGAGUGCAGGAGAGGAAAGCGGAAUUCCUAGUGUAGCGGUGAAAUGCGUAGAUAUUAGGAGGAACACCAGUGGCGAAGGCGGCUUUCUGGACUGUAACUGACACUGAGGCACGAAAGCGUGGGGAGCAAACAGGAUUAGAUACCCUGGUAGUCCCU